GAGACUGAAAGCCUGCUGACGUGAGCAGCAUGGUAAAGAGCACUGGCAGCCUCAACAUAAAAGAGGCUCCCAGCUGACAACCAGGAAAGAAACGGGACUUCACCCUUCAGCCUCGAGGAAUGAGAUUCUAUCCCCAACCUGAGUGAGCCGGGAAGUGACUUCUCCCCCCAAGACUCCAGAUAAGGGCCCAGGCUAACCACCAUCUUGAUUUCACCUUGUGCAACCUGGAGCCAAGGAAUCAGUCAGACCCACAGGACUUCUGACUUGCAGAAGUGAGAGUAACCUGCACCUCUUGGCCCUGAAGAUGAUGGCCCAGCAUCAAAUCAACAGGAAGGACACUGAGGUGAUGAUGAUGGAGAUGAGCGUCAGUGUGUGCAAGUGGGAAGAUGUUCAUGCGAGUCUUCUCAAAAAGCAUUGGACACCUGCCAAUAACAUGUCCCAGAACUCCUUACCAGCAGGCUUCCUUUCAGAUUAUGCCAAGGAAAAACACCUAGUAGCAAAACCCCUGGCCAUCAAUAGGCACAUGCUUGGCCUUCAGAAAAUAGCCAGCAGGAGGUUUUACAGCAGUUAGUGAUGGUUCUGUGAAUCAUUUAUUUUGAUGCUUCUGGCUACCAUGAUCGCUGACAAGAGUUUCCAAUUAUCUCUGCCACUUUCUGAUUUCCCAGCUAACAGCUUCUCUUGACUCUUACCUCCUUUGUCAUAUGGUGCAGUUCCCUAUUUCAAAUCUGCUCCUGCUUAAAAUGCCUAAGAUCUUUGUUUUCUGAUCAAACCAUGCCUUAUACAAUGU
ensembl:lncRNA